rnacentral:lncRNA from 1 species
CUUUUUUACCCGAAUAAAUGUCAACACUGGGACAUUUUGUACAACAAGAACUGAAUCUAAAGCCAAUAUUGAACUCGUGGGUUCCAUACGCAAGCUAGCUACCAACGUCAAAUUUGUUGAUGCUAAAAUCAAUCACCACCACAAGAACACAAUAAAGUUCUCCAAAUGGUUGCUCGAGGAAGAGCUCGCUGCUGAACCCGACCACAUUUACCGCUGGGAGCAGCUAACCACUAGUUUGUAGAUGGACUUAGCGACGUCAGCAGCCGCCAUCUCGCACCUGAGAAUCAAACCAAAUAUUCAGGCGAAUAAAUAAGUGCACAAGAGAUAUUUAUUUAGCAAGACAUUUUUGCGGAACAGGCAAACAAAGUUUUUCAAUGAACCUUUUAAGGUUUAUGCGUUCGAACUUGCAAACUUUCCGGACUAGUACUUACCUCGCUUGUAUUUUUUCACUUCACGAUGGGAUCAGAAGUGCACAACAUAUACAAACAUUAGCACAAGGAUCAAUUGGGGCAAACAACAGAACACAAAAUUAACUGAAGUUUUUGUCAACAUGGUUUGAUACAUAUUCAGUCCAUAUCUUGAUAAUAGCAUCAGACUUAAUAUACCCAGAAUGCAUCUUUGCAUCUUCCUUGUCAGUCCAUUUCAUGCACUAUGAACAGAGGAAGGAAGGAUCAGCAAGUUCAAUGUGUUCAAGCACUAAGGAUCCAUGAAGUUCAAAACUAGAGGAAAGGCUCUGACCUGCACCAAGUGCAGUAGCCGAGCCACACUGCAGCUAGAGAAUGACGACAUGCUUGAAUAGACAUCGCUGGUGGGAACUAGCAGGAUCCAGGUCGCUGCUGCGAUGAACCGCCUGCGGAGGUGGCGUUCUACGGCCUGCGGGGGGUGGCUGUGAUCAGCCAGGGCGCUCCUAAAGACAUGACAACAUAAAAAAAAAUGUUUGUGUUACAAGAGAUAAUAUAAGCAAGGAUGCAUUUCAGUCAUACAAACAAAUGAAAAGAAAUUCAGCCAUACAAGCCUAAUGAGUUAUUGUUAUUUGUAUGGCCCAGAAAGAAAUGAAUCACAUGUAAUUUCCAGAAAGGAAAGAACAUUUUUGAACUCUUUCGCAAGUAUAUGUGAUAAAUAGAUACAACGUAUCCUAAGAAAUGAAUCACAUAGGCUUUUGUUGGUGAGCCCUCCUGUUUCCCUGAUUUGAACGUUCACAAGAUUUCCUCUGAGUAUAAAAAAAACAAGAAAUAGAGUGUUCUGUUCACAUAGGCAUUACUCGUUAGAAGAAACACCUAUCAAGCAUCGUUUUUGCAACCAGAUAAACAUGACUUUUGCUUCUUUUUGUACGAAACUACUUUUUGGAAAAGGAAAUUUUUUAUGCAAGAGUAGUGUCACUGGUUCAUCCAUGCAAGGAAUAAAUUCACUUUUUAAUAGCACUACCUGGUAGCAUAUGUGUGUGUGUGCGCAUGUGAUUUAAUCAAUUAGUGAUGAUGGACAACAUCCCUAUGUACCGUGCUUCCCAUUUUGAACACACACAUUUUUUUAACACACACAUUGAACUGUUUCAGGGGGUUCUUAAUGAGCUGAUGAUAGAAAACAUGUUGAACUGAAAUUUGGACUUCCAGGACUACCGAAUGUUUUGGGUUCUUUUAUGAACUUUUUUGUUAUUUUUUCUUAACUGAAAACCAAAAUUACAAUCACAAUACACACAUGUACUACAAAACAAUGUGUGUUUGUACUGUCCAUGUAAACGAAUUAACCAAAAACAAAUAAUUUAUGAAGGAAACCAUGUUUAUGUUGCACAGUACACCAUGUUUAUGUUGCUCAGUGCACCAUGUGAUGCAACUACAAACUCUUUUUCUCUCUGAAAAAGCAAGAUUCGCAAAUGACCUACAUUUGUAGCAUCAGUACAUACUUGUCAUGAACUGACAAAAUUACUCAAGUAGACCAAAUUCGAACUAGAUUAGAAGAAAUUCUACAGAGCAUCAUUUCUAGCAUCAUAACAUACUUGUCCUUUUACGGACUGAUGGUAGAUAUACAAGGUGAACUGCUAUACCACCUACAUGGCAUCAUUUUUCUACGAGAAAAGACAAUUCAUCUUUACCAUUUUCGUUAUAUAUCACAUUUUGAACAAGCAUCUUGAACUUUUGCUAAGCAAGCACAACAUCAACACAUCUAAAUGCCUCAGUAAACUAGAGUCACUCAGCCCCCAAAUCAAUUUUUUUACAAAGGCAGAACAAAAGGAGAGGAAAGCUUCUGACCUCUGUGUUGUUGAACGUCGUCGAACGGCCUUGGUUGGUAGUGGCGAACGGACUAGUGUGGCGGCAGUGGACCGUGCGGCCACUGUGGCGGGGGCGCGCUGGGGGAGGGAGCAGGG